UACGGAGGGUGCAAGCGUUGUUCGGAAUUAUUGGGCGUAAAGCGCGUGUAGGCGGCUUUGCAAGUCGGGUGUGAAAGCCCUCAGCUUAACUGAGGAAGUGCGCCCGAAACUGCAGAGCUUGAAUACCGGAGAGGAUGGCGGAAUUCCCCAAGUAGAGGUGAAAUUCGUAGAUAUGGGGAGGAACACCGGUGGCGAAGGCGGCCAUCUGGACGGCUAUUGACGCUGAGACGCGAAAGCGUGGGGAGCAAACAGG
rnacentral:rRNA from 1 species